rnacentral:rRNA from 1 species
AUUGAACGCUGGCGGCGUGCUUAACACAUGCAAGUCGUGCGGUAACAGGCGUAGCAAUACGUGCUGACGAGCGGCGAACGGGUGCGUAAUACAUGGGAAUCUGCCCUUUAGUGGGGAAUA